GAGCGGCGUGCGGCGCGGCGCGGUCGAGAGGUGAUGAGUAGUUGACGCGGAGCAGAUAUAUAUGGAUGGAUGGCGUCGUCGUCGGUCGGACGACGGCGAGGUCGCGCGCAUCACGCGCGGGCGUAGCUGCGGGCGAGGUGGGCGGCGCGGAGGUCGGCGGCGUCGGCGCCGCCGGCGAAGUUGGAGGGCCGGUAGUGGCCCGUCACGGGGUCGGGCACCCACGACACCUCCCUCGCCGCCGACGACGACGACCCGUCCUUCGCCUGCGUCAUCCCCGCAGCGCCCUUCCCUUCCACCGCCGCCGCC
rnacentral:lncRNA from 1 species